UAUUUUGUUAGUUAGUGCUGAUUUUUGUUUGUUAGUUUUGAUUUGGAAUUCUGUUAGUUAGUUUGAAUCGUCGCUCCUCUGUUAGUUAGUUUUGAUACUUCGUCGCUCCUCUGACUCUGUUAGUUUUUAUUUCAAUUUUUCUUAGUUCGUCGCUCCUGUGUCAGUUUUGAGUUCUUCCUAUUGUUGAGUUUUACCUAUCCUAAGAAUUUAACUUAUAUGUCAGUACCCGAUAUUUUUGUGGAAUUCUACUUUUUGCUUAUGUUGUUCAGUUAGCUUAAAGCUUAUUUUGUUAGUGUUGAGUUUGGAGCUUUAAUUUGGAGUUUGAAUUAGACGUUAGUGCUGAUUUUUGUUUAAAGUUUUUGUGUUGCACAUAAGGUUUUUGAUUUUAUGUCGAUAUAAAGUGUUUUGAGUUUUUUUGUUGCACAUAAGGUGUUUGAGUUUUUUUAUUGCACAUAAGGUGUUUGAGUUUUUUUUGCAUUUUUGUUUGAGUUUUUGUGUUGCAUUUUUAUGUCGGUCACCCGAAGCUUCUUAGUCAAGUCCGCCACUGCGAACAAUGAUAUCAAAUUUAAAUUUUCCUUCAUUUUUAUCCGAGAAUUUAGGGUUGUGUGUUUUGUGCAUUCUUAAUGGUUGCAUGUCAAAUUUUCUCCUUUUCUUCACCACUACAAUAUACCUUUUCAUGCGAUGAGUAAUAAUUGGGAUGAGAGAAAAAUGAAAGAUUGCUUUAUUGUUUAUUCUUAAAAUUCGCAUACAUAUAAGUGAUAAAGCAAAUUAUUAAAUUUCUAUCAACGAAGGAACAGCCAAAAUUUUAGUAUGCCACCGGAGCUAAUCAUUUCACAACCUUUAAAUGGUAACAACAAGAGCUUAUUUGGUUUCCGUGCAUCAUAAGUAACUUUGAAAACAAAACAUGACAAACUCGAAUAAUAUAUAUUAAAAUUUCCCGUCAAUUGCUUUUAGAUCAUAACAGCAAAUGGGUUCAACAAAUGUUUGCCUCCUUCUGCAUUUUAGUUUGCUUAUGAAUUUGAUCUGUGGCAAAUAUUCUGGUGGAUAAUUGAUGCAUUUUAAUGAGUUGGAGGAUAUGACCAAUCAUGAUAUUGCUUCACAAAAGAGAGAAAAUAAAACUGGUAAGGCAGUAAUGCAGAAAUACUAAAUAUUAGAAUGUAAGGAGCACUUAUAAAAAAAAAUCAAAAUCGGCAGUGAGCUCUAUAAGCAAUCAAAAUUUUAACAUUAAAUUAUAAAUUAUAAAUGUCCCUAUUCCACAACCAUCAACCACUUAUCAAACAAUGAGUUAGACAAUCAAAUUAUCUGCACCGAGCACUAUGAAAACUAGAGAUAAUUUGAUCUUUGUUGACCGCCUUAAUUCAAACCUUCCAUCUCAGAUACGGAUCUUUGGUUAUAAGCGGGUGACAGCUUCUUUUAGUGCCAAGAAGUUCUGUGACAGGAGGAGGUAUGUCUAUCUCAUCCCUGUGUUUGCUCUUGAUCCAUGCUGUCAUCGUGAUAGAGAGACUGUACUGGCUAGUUUGGGGUCUGAAAAUGAGCUUGUUAAGUGUUUGGAGUGUUCUGAGAGAGGCCGAAAGGUGGAAGGUUUGGUUGGUAAUAGUAAGCGCAAUCUGGAGCUAGAAGCUAUGGAUGUUGAGACCACAGACAAAGGUGAUGAUAAUCGUUCAAAUAAAGAAUCCAUUAAUGACAACGAGGGUAAGGUUUCAGUUGAAGAUGUAAACUCUAAAACUAGUUUCGAGACUGUGGUUUCUGGUCAGGAUGAGGUUUCUCCUUUAAAUGGUGGAUCUGAGAAUAAUUCAGCUGUUCUCGAGGAAGAAAAAGUGAACGGAGAGGAUACACCUGCUAAACGAAGUGAGUUUUGUUAUGGUGAGAAGGAGAGGGAGAGAUUUAACAAGAUUUUGAAGAGUUAUGUGGGAACUCAUAACUUCCAUAACUUCACGACCAGAAUAAAACCCGAGGAUCCUUCUGCUAAACGUUUCAUUAUUUCAUUUGACGCAAGCAACACUGUUGGGUAGUUUUUUUUUUGUUCAACUAUCUUGGGCAGAGGCUUUUUUUGGGUAAAUUAUUUGGGAAAAGGCUUAUACAAAUACAAAAGCGAAAUGUCCGAAACCCGUAUCCGUUGAAUUCGGGGGCCCAAAAGAAAACACCCACUUCGUUCUUUCUCGAAUGGAGUUUCUUUUGUUUCAGUUAUGAUUGAAAAAACGAGGGUUUAAGGUUGUUCGCCUCUUUCAUUUGGUUGUAACCAUUGUCUCACGUUUCUGCAUUCUCUUGCUUCUGAUAUUGGCAGCAGUUUUCACUUGUUAAACUUGAUGUCUGUAAGAAAACCCCCAUUGCCUCGUCUCCUCCUUAACAAUGUCUCUUGUAUGAGAAAUGCCCAGCAAGUUCUGUCUAAUGUGAAUCUCUCUCUUCAUGAUGGAGGAGCACUUGUGCUAACAGGUGCAAAUGGCUCAGGAAAGUCAACUUU